rnacentral:lncRNA from 1 species
GCCGCCCUAGAGCCUUUCCCCUAUAACAGUGAAAUCAACAAUGACUGUGUCAGGAGAGAUCUUUAACUUAUUAUUUAUUACAAGAUAUUCUAAUGUUUAAAGAGCAAUCCAACAUAAAUGAAGAGAACAUAAGAAACAGCAUACACAAUACUGGACAUCACAGGACCCUCUCUGGCUGGAUACCAGGCUGUGGAACCACCAGAUGCUUCAGAUGAGAAAGGUUGGAUCUGUUUCACAGGGAAGGGGCUAAACUAUUUCAAGAAGCGACCACACGCUGGGCACUCUGAAAUCCAAAGCAAGUCUGGAUCUGGCC